rnacentral:rRNA from 1 species
UACGAAGGGGGCUAGCGUUGUUCGGAUUUACUGGGCGUAAAGCGCACGUAGGCGGAUCUUUAAGUCAGAUGUGAAAUCCCAAGGCUCAACCUUGGAACUGCCUUUGAUACUGGGGAUCUCGAGUUCGGGAGAGGUGAGUGGAACUGCGAGUGUAGAGGUGAAAUUCGUAGAUAUCCGGAGGAAUACCAAAGGCGAAGGCAGUGUCCUGGCUGGCAACUGACGCUGAGGCGCGAAAGCUAGGGGAGCGAACAGG